CGCGGGGUGGAGCAGCACGGUAGCUCGUCGGGCUCAUAACCCGAAGGUCGCAGGUUCAAAUCCUGUCCCCGNNN
rnacentral:tRNA from 1 species